GGCCCUACCACACCCACACCUAGCGGUGAAGAACACAGCACACCUGGAGAACACAUUUCUAGAAUAACCAGUCCAGGAGAGUCAGGGACAAGUACGACACCUACUGGAAGCACUGUUGGAAGCACAUCAGAGAGGACAGGCUCACCUGGGGCAUCAUCUGGAUCAAGCCCUGGUACAGCAGGUGCCAGCACUCCUGGAGAAGUCAGCGCUGGAGCCACAAGUUCAGGUGGGACA